rnacentral:rRNA from 1 species
UACGUAGGGCGCAAGCGUUUGUCCGGAAUUAUUGGGCGUAAAGAGCUCGUAGGCGGCUUGUCACGUCGGUUGGUGAAAGCCCGGGGCUUAACCCCGGGUCUGCAGUCGAUACGGGCAGGCUAGAGUGUGGUAGGGGAGAUCGGAAUUCCUGGUGUAGCGGUGAAAUGCGCAGAUAUCAGGAGGAACACCGGUGGCGAAGGCGGAUCUCUGGGCCAUUACUGACGCUGAGGAGCGAAAGCGUGGGGAGCGAACAGG